rnacentral:rRNA from 1 species
GCGGCAAUAGCUCAAAUUUGAAAGCUGGCCUUAUGGUCCGCAUUGUAAUUUGUAGAGGAUGCUUUUAGGCAGCCGCCGGUCUAAGUUCCUUGGAACAGGACGUCAUAGAGGGUGAGAAUCCCGUAUGUGACCGGCUCUGGCACCUUAUGUAAAGCUCCUUCGACGAGUCGAGUUGUUUGGGAAUGCAGCUCUAAAUGGGAGGUAAAUUUCUUCUAAAGCUAAAUACUGGCGAGAGACCGAUAGCGCACAAGUAGAGUGAUCGAAAGAUGAAAAGCACUUUGGAAAGAGAGUUAAAAAGCACGUGAAAUUGUUGAAAGGGAAGCGCUUGCAAUCAGACUUGGACUUGGCUGUUCAACCGGUCUUCUGACCGGCCCACUCAGUCUUGUCCAGGCCAGCAUCAGUUUCGGCGGCCGGAUAAAGGCCCUGGGAAUGUGGCUGUCCCUUCGGGGACAGUGUUAUAGCCCAGGGUGUAAUACGGCCAGCUGGGACUGAGGUCCGCGCUUCGGCUAGGAUGCUGGCGUAAUGGUUGUAAGCGGCCCGUCUUA